AGCAGCCGCGGUAAUUCCAGCUCCAAUAGCGUAUAUUAAAGUUGUUGCAGUUAAGAAGCUCGUAGUUGAAUUUCAGACCGGUUUACUGGUCGUGCUUUUGUACGUACUGGUAUUAUUGGUUUCUCCUUUCUGACGAAUCAUAAUGCCAUUAAUUUGGUGUUUUGGGGAAUCAGGACUGUUACUUUGAAAAAAUUAGAGUGUUUAAAGCAGGCUCACGCUUGAAUACAUUAGCAUGGAAUAACGAAAUAGGACGUUUGAUUUUAUUUUGUUGGUUUCUAGGAUCGACGUAAUGAUUAAUAGGGAUAGUUGGGGGCAUUAGUAUUCAAUUGUCAGAGGUGAAAUUCUUGGAUUUAUUGAAGACUAACUACUGCGAAAGCAUUUGCCAAGGAUGUUUUCAUUAAUCAAGAACGAAAGUUAGGGGAUCGAAGACGAUCAGAUACCGUCGUAGUCUUAACCAUAAACUAUGC
rnacentral:rRNA from 1 species